UUGUUUGUUAUCAAAAUCCUCAUAGACCCUUUGCUUCUAAGGGCCAAUGUGGAAACUGGGUUGUUUUGUUUUGGAAUCGUGUUAGACCCAGGGACAAAAACGUUGUCUUCCAAAACAAACACCGAAACAAAGUGUGGCCCUUUGUUUCAAAUUGGUGCGAAACAGCCAGCGGUCGGGACGGAACGGUGUAGCGAGGCCACGGAACACAUCUACGUCAUUCGCCAGCAUUUCGGAAAGCUGAGAUAUCGGAUCUCAAACCUCAUCAGCAACACAAUCCUGGCUGUUCCCGCUUCUUCAACUAUUUCACGUGAAAAUUUUGUGGAAGUGACCAAACGAGUGCCCACGACAUGAGCGCCGACACGGAGCAUCGAUCGGCGUGGAACGGUAGAUGCGUCAGUGUUUAUAAUAACAACAUGCUAGCCUCGGACGCCAGCUUCGCCUACGAGAAGGAGGAAGCUGUUGGUGGUGAACAAUAAAGGCACCUCGGAAGGAGAGAGAAUCUGCUCCCGGAAGCAGCGGCGGCCAGUACAAGUCAGCGCCGGCAACUGCUCACCGCCAUCUCGACGACGAUCCGGACGACUGACAAACCAUUUCCGUUCCAAUGCCAUCCGCGACGUCUCCAAUCGACGAACUAUCUCUUCCACUAUCAAAAAUGUAUUCAAAAUAAAAAUUCCCCGUUAACUCUGGCUGAUUCGUACUCCCUCAA